rnacentral:rRNA from 1 species
GACGAACGCUGGCGGCGUGCUUAACACAUGCAAGUCGAACGGUAAGGCCCUUCGGGGUACACGAGUGGCGAACAGGUGAGUAACACGUGGGUGAUCUGCCCUGCACUUCGGGAUAAGCCUGGGAAACUGGGUCUAAUACCGGAUAGGACUCCGGACUGCAUGGUCUGGGGUGGAAAGCUUUUGCGGUGUGGGAUGGGCCCGCGGCCUAUCAGCUUGUUGGUGGGGUGAUGGCCUACCAAGGCGACGACGGGUAGCCGGCCUGAGAGGGUGACCGGCCACACUGGGACUGAGAUACGGCCCAGACUCCUACGGGAGGCAGCAGUGGGGAAUAUUGCACAAUGGGCGCAAGCCUGAUGCAGCGACGCCGCGUGAGGGAUGACGGCCUUUGGGUUGUAAACCUCUUUCAGCAUCGACGAAGCGAAAGUGACGGUAGGUGCAGAAGAAGGACCGGCCAACUACGUGCCAGCAGCCGCCGUAA